rnacentral:rRNA from 1 species
UACGUAGGAUCCAAGCGUUGUCCGGAUUUACUGGGUGUAAAGGGUGCGCAGGCGGGCUGGUAAGUCAGUAGUGAAAUCUCGGCGCUCAACGCCGAAACGUCUUUUGAUACUACCAGUCUUGAAUAAGCGAGAGAUCCGUGGAAUUCCGAGUGUAGCAGUGAAAUGUGUAGAUAUUCGGAAGAACACCAGAGGCGAAGGCAGCGGGUUGGCGCUUUAUUGACGCUCAGGCACGAAAGCAUGGGGAUCAAACAGG